CGGGAAGGAAUGCAUAUGUUGGGAGUACCUCUGUGAUGGUGGGCGUGACUGUCAGGAUGGCUCCGAUGAAGAGACUGUUCCCAGCUCUGCAACAGAUCAGGGGUCUUCCAGUGUCUGGACAGAAGCAAGUGCACUGAGGAGAAAUACCGCUGUAAUGGGGCUCAGCAGUGCUUGGACUGACGAGUUGGACUGCUGGAAACCCACUGAAGACUGUUCUCUGCGCUGUGACAACAAGACCCACUGUAUCCCUGAGAGCUGGCUAUGUGAUGGCAACCCAGACUGUCCUGACAAAAAAGAUGAAUAAGGAUAUAUUCAUGAAAAAUGCAGCACAUCUGAAUUUAGAUGUGAGAAUGGCCAAUGCAUAUCUUAUUCUCUGCAUUAUGAUGGGAACUGAGACUGCCUGGACCACUCAAAUGAAGAUGGCUGUCCUGUUUCCUGGCCCCUGCAGUGCCCAUCGGGGCAGGUGAAGUGCCCCCAAAGUGGAGAAUGUGCGUUGGCAGAGUGGAUAUGUGACCAUGACUUAGACUGCAGAGAUGGAAGUGAUGAGAAGGUAGCCCAGUCUUCUUGCAGAAAAAUAAACUAGAUUUCUAAUCACAGCAGUGACACACACGUCCCUAUAAAAAAACUCGAGAAAUCAAGAAUAGAGAAGU